rnacentral:rRNA from 1 species
UACAGAGGUCCCAAGCGUUGUUCGGAUUCAUUGGGCGUAAAGGGUGCGUAGGUGGCGCCGUAAGUCAGGUGUGAAAUUUCGGAGCUUAACUCCGAAACUGCAUUUGAUACUGCGGUGCUUGAGGACUGGAGAGGAGACUGGAAUUUACGGUGUAGUAGUGAAAUGCGUAGAGAUCGUAAGGAAGACCAGUGGCGAAGGCGGGUCUCUGGACAGUUCCUGACACUGAGGCACGAAGGCCAGGGGAGCAAACGGG